UGUUUUACGCCACUGCUGUUGGACGAGCAACGCACCACUGUUUCAAGAACUGCAUGAAGUACAUUUCGGAUUUGCAUUACAAACCUGACACUAACCUGAUUUUUGAGCUGAGUAACUUCUACUGCGAGCACGGUGCAUCGUGUGUGGAAGGUGUUCCCAGAGAAGACGUUCCUGAGAUUAUAGAAUGUCUUCUGGACUUCAUCGUGGCAAACUGGUCUAAGAUCCACCUAUUCGACGACCAUGAUAUCGAAUGCGCAAGGACAGCAAUG